ensembl:miRNA
AUUAAGAUUGGUACAAAAGUGAUUGUGGUUUUUGCCAUUGAAAGUAAUGACAAAAACUGCAAUCACUUUUGCACCAACCUAAUAAAA